rnacentral:misc_RNA from 1 species
UCCUAUUCCUUUGGUCAACAUACAUAUUUUGCCCAGUAAAUAUUCUAGGCCCGUUUCAGUCAUUGGAUUUUUGGAUACUGUAGCCCAUAAGAGCAUAAUGAACCCGGCCAUUCUUCCAUCUGAAAGUUGGGUCCCACACAAAAAGUAUUUCAAAGCAACUGAUGGGAAGGUUUUCAAGAACAAUUUGAUUAUUAUGAAUCCUAUUGGUAUC